GGGAAGGGAAACUCACACAAUCACACUAUCACUGCUCCGGGGAACUUCAGAUUCAGACCAGCCCGGCUUAAUCCAGGCAACCAGAUGGCCAGAGGUGAAUGGACCCGCCUUCCCUGCCUUGUCCUGGCUCCAGGCUUCCGUCCCAGAUUUUCCCGAAUCCUACUUGCUACUUCUACUCUGGAAGAAACAGAAUUCAUGACAGCUGUGCACACCUAAGUGGAGCCAGAGGACAGAAAGCACGGCCGGUGACAGCAAUGUGGCCCCGGUGUAGGGGGUGAGCAGAGGCCCUGCCAGGGUCACUCCCUGGGGAAGUAGACACAUCUAGAAAAGCAGAAGUGGCUUGAGUCCCGAGGCUGAGCAGCUGGGACAUGCUAUGUCGGGGACGCAUUACCUGGAGGGACUUAAAUACCCACCUGCUUCCUUGUACAGGGCAGCGAUGACAACCCAAAGAAUGGUUCCAUCAAAGUCCAACUUGGGGGGACCAAUGAGAUUUGGGUUUGCUGACAGAACAUGCGUGACGGGUUAUUGACAGGAGUGUGGCUGACCCAAAGAGUCCACAUGAGAAAGUCUUACCCCAGCAUGGGCGUCAACUUCCCAUGUAGUGUAGAUGGGCAUACUCUAAAGUCUGUACACUCUAGCGGCUCCUGAGACCACACAACCGCACAGAGUGAAGCCAGAAAUACACACUGCUACCUGGGCGGUAGAGGGGCGUGGCCGGAGUCUCCAGGGAGGGUUCAAUGACUCCACCCACUUCU